GAAGUUUAACGUCGCCUUUAUCGAUGUUGAUGGAGUGCUGCCGUUGGAGCUCCAAGCUUCGAAUCUUCCUCCAAUGGGUGGUGUAUCGGUUGAAUCCGAGGUUGUUGUUGAUAUUUUUCUGUCUAUCAGCUUCUCACAUUUUGUGUUUCUCCUUUAGAUUCUUUUCUCUAGGUAGCUCAAUUUACAACCCAUGGUUCUUCUGUGAAAAUGGUCUUUGACCAAGACCAGGUUCUCUCCAGUUUCUGUUCUGAUUAGUAUCUUUAAUUCCUGAAUGUUGACUUGAAGUUGUUGUUGUUGUUGUGUUAUGUACAUAUGAUCUGUAUAAAUUCUUCAUUGUUGAACUACUCUGCGUGUUUUGAUUCUCAGUUGAGGAAUUUGGUAUUUGUCCAUGUUUAUGCAUUUCCUUAUUUUCUCUGGUAGCU
rnacentral:lncRNA from 1 species